GGUGAAGAACGUAGCAAAAUGCGAUAAGUAAUGUGAAUUGCAGAAUUCAGUGAAUCAUCGAAUCUUUGAACGCACAUUGCGCCCGCCAGUAUUCUGGCGGGCAUGCCUGUUCGAGCGUCAUUUCAACCCUCAAGCACAGCUUGGUGUUGGGACUCGCGUUAAUUCGCGUUCCUCAAAUUGAUUGGCGGUCACGUCGAGCUUCCAUAGCGUAGUAGUAAAACCCUCGUUACUGGUAAUCGUCGCGGCCACGCCGUUAAACCCCAACUUCUGAAUGUUGACCUCGGAUCAGGUAGGAAUACCCGCUGAACUUAAGCAUAUCAAUAAGCGGAGGA
rnacentral:misc_RNA from 1 species